AUAUUUUUGGAAUGUAUCAUAAGAAAUUUCAAAAUGUUUUUCUCUGCAGAGAGAAUAGGGAUCACAGUACAGACAUUUAGACAGUAGUAUCCUCAUGUACCUCAGGAAGCUUCUUAUACUCAUACAUUAUCUAUUUUUUUAAAAUAGUUAAUACUAAAUAAACAGAAAAUUUAUUUAGAAUCAUCCAGUGAAUGAGAUGGUUAAUCAAACCAAGUAAUGCUAUCUCUAGAAAAAAUCUGUGUUUGGAUGCACGCUGGGGCCAAACACUAUCAAAAUACAAUGGCAUCAUCACAGCUCACUGUAACCUCAAACUCCUGGGCUGAAAGGAUUCUCCUGCCACAGCCUCCCUAGUAGCUGGGACUACAGGUGUGCAAAAACCACACUAAGCUAAUUUUUGUAUUGAUCUAGGCAGCCCAGGCAAUGGAACAAGACUCUUGUCUCAAAAAGAAGAAAAAAAAACACUACCUACACCAAUGGCCACCAAAGAAGGCAGUGAUUAAGACCAUCCAUUGAGGGUUCCUGAAAAGCAGAGGAAUUGGGGAUACGGAGUCAGAGAUCAAUAGGCUAAUCAAAGAUAAAAUAAAAAUUUUCUGUCAAACUGAGUAAAAAGAUCAGUGUUCUUAAAUGGACUGAGACAAUAAUUGGAUUUGCACUAAUUUUCAAUAUUCUGGCAUCACUAUUAACCAAUGUUAUAAAAACAGUUUAUUUUUGUAAGAGACCAACUGAAACAAAAAUCUUAAGAAGCAUCUGUUCAGACCAAUGGCUGCACAACAAAAAUUUCUUUCACACAGCUGUCUAUCACCAGUCAUUCAAGAUUAAGCCAGUUAAAUUUUUUCAAGUUUAUAAUUCAGACUCAAGCACUUCUGUAGCUUUUUCCAAUUUAGCAGCAAUUUUUUCCAUUCUUUAGGCAUUUAGUACUAUCUGAUUUGCCAGAGUAGAUUAAAAAUUCAAUUAGGUAUGUGAAUUUCAAACCGUCUACCAAUGCCUUCCAUCAGAAGACCACCAGGAACACAUCCAUAGAUGUACAAGCUGGGUUUAUUAUUCCUCCUUGCAACAAGGGAAACUGCACACCAUGGAGAACUACAGGGUAAUUCAGUAAGUGGGUGUUAAAUGGAACUUACUUUAUGGAUUUAGACAAUGAUAGGAGAUUUAAGAGAAAAUUUAAGAAACUGGGGCAUUGCUAUGGAUGGGAAGCUAUCAGGAAGUGGGAAUAAAGAUAUGACUGGGUAUCUGAAUAAACCCUAACUAAUAAGGGAGGAGGAAUGCAUUAAGGCCAAAGCUAUAACUGGUAAAGAAGCAGCAGCCACUCAUGUUAGCCAGGAGAAGAGGAUGUGUGGCCAUGUUUGUGGUUUAAAAAUGUUCAUAAUGAUGCCAGAUGAUUGCAGUCGCUAAAAAAAAAAAAAAAAAAAAAAAAAUGUUCAUAAUGGGACAGAACGAGGGAACGCAACGGAGGCAGGCAGGAGCGGCCGUCACCAUGACCCACGGUGAGCAGCGUGAGCUCGCCUGCCAGAAGAAUAAGAAAAUGUAGAGCGACUCGGUUAAGGGAAAACGCCGAGAUGAUGGGCUUUCUGCUACCGCCCACAAGCAGAGGGACUGAGAGAUCAUGCAGCAGAAGCAGAAAAAGGCAACGCGAAGGAGGAACCCAAGUAGCUUUGUGGCUUCGUGUCCAACCCUCCUGCCUGUGUGCCUGGAGCCAGUCCCACCAUGCUCGCGUUUCCUCCAGUAAUGCUCAUGGGUCCCAGCACCUAUGGCAUUCCCUUUGCCCUGAGUCUGCAGCCGGUCCCUUUUGUGCUUCCUUCCCCUCAAGUAGCCUCUCUCCCCCUGGGCCACUCCUGGGGGUGAGGGGGUUAUCCUUCCCAGAGUUUUUUAUUCCUGUGGGGCUCACCCCAAAGUAUUAAAAGUAGCUUUGUAAUUCAAAAAAAUAAAUUAAAAUGUUCAUAUUUUUGUCUG